UUACUUUAGCAGUGUGUGUACUAAUAUUGGAACAAUAUAGAGAAGAUUAGCAUGGCCCCUUUGCAGUGCUGACUUGCAAAUCCAUGAAACAUUUAUAUGUCAU